GCAGGUCUCUCCAAUAUCCUCAACCCACCUACCAGGUCCCCCGAUCCAACAAACUCAGCAAUAACCAUUUUAUCAUUAUCCACAAUUUCAUCACUCAAACUCUCAUUCCUACCACCAUGUAAACCUUCCAUCAAAAUAUCAUCACUUUUUAAUGCCUUAUUGUCACUACUCCCGCAAUACUCCAAAAGCUCAUCAACAGCAAGGCGUUCCUGUGGCUCAUCGCCAAUUUCCUCAUCUUUUAGAGCUGAAACGACCUGAGUAGUAGCGGUAACCUGUGUCUCUGGUCGAGCAGCCGAAGAGGACCCUGCUCGGCUCUGGUUUGAAGAAGAAGAACCGCUGCC
rnacentral:misc_RNA from 1 species